rnacentral:pre_miRNA from 1 species
GGUUCUGGGGUGGAGCUUCCUUGGGUCCAAUGAAGGGUCUUUUGAGGGGCAAUUUAGCUGCUGAGUUAUGGAUCCCACUCUCCUAUCUCAUAGAAGAAAAAGAAGAGAGAGAGAGGGAGAGAGAGAGAGAGAGGGAGAGAGAGAGAGAUUAAGAGUUUAUUAAGAGAGAGAGUGAGAGAGAGAGAUGGAUAUGAGUAUUUGAGAUAGGUUUAGUGGUUUGCAUGACACAGGAGCUGCAUUAGCCCUUACAUGAUCUCUAUUUGGAUUGAAGGGAGCUCUGCAUCUACAUCCA